CAAACAGUCCGAGAGGGAGGGAGCGCCAAAAAAGGGCAAAUAUAAAUGCAAAUGAUAUUUAUGU
rnacentral:sRNA from 1 species